rnacentral:rRNA from 1 species
UACAGAGGGUGCAAGCGUUAAUCGGAAUUACUGGGCGUGAAGCGCGCGUAGGCGGUUUGUUAAGUCGGAUGUGAAAUCCCUGGGCUCAACCUAGGCACUGCAUCCGAUACUGGCUAACUAGAGUGUGGGAGAGGAAGGUAGAAUUCCUGGUGUAGCGGUGAAAUGCGUAGAGAUCUGGAGGAAUACCGAUGGCGAAGGCAGCCUUCUGGCCUAACACUGACGCUGAGGUGCGAAAGCAUGGGGAGCAAACAGG